rnacentral:rRNA from 1 species
AGGGCGUAGGACGGAUGCCUUGGCACCAAGCGCCGAUGAAGGACGUGACAAGCUGCGAUAAGCCACGGGGAGUUGCAAAUGAACUUUGAUCCGUGGAUUUCCGAAUGAGGAAACUCACAUAUGGUAAUGCAUAUGUAACCAUACAUGAAUACAUAGUGUAUGGUGGGGAACCCGGGGAACUGAAACAUCUAAGUACCCGGAGGAAAAGAAAGAAAACAAUCGAUUUCCUGAGUAGUGGUGAGCGAAAGGGAAAGAGCCUAAACGUUUAUAUAGUGAUAUAUAAACGGGUUACGGACCCCAUAACGUACUGAUUUUUGUAGUUGAACACAGUUGGAAAGCUGGGCGAAACAGAGUAACAGCCUCGUAGGCGAAACCGAAAUCAGACCGGGGGUAUCCAGAGUAUCACAGGACACGAGAAAUCCGGUGGGAAGACAGGAGGACCAUCUCCUAAGGCUAAAUACGACUUGGUGACCGAUAGAGUAUAGUACCGUGAGGGAAAGGUGAAAAGAACCCCGGGAGGGGAGUGAAAGAGAACCUGAAAUCCUAUGCUUACAAGCAGACAUAGCACUACUUGAAAGUGUGAUGUCGUACUUUUUGUAGAACGGGCCGGCGAGUUACGAUGUGUAGCGAGGUUAAGUGAUUAAGUCACGGAGCCGAAGCGAAAGCGAGUUUGAAAUGAGCGAUAGUUGCAUGUCGUAGACCCGAAACCAGAUGACCUAUUCAUGGACAGGUUGAAGCAGCGGUAAGACGCUGUGGAGGACCGAACCCACGUUCGUUGAAAAGACCGGGGAUGAGCUGUGAAUAGCGGAGAAAUUCCAAACGAAUCUGGAGAUAGCUGGUUCUCCUCGAAAUAGCUUUAGGGCUAGCCUCUCGUUAGUGUACCGAAGGUAGAGCACUGUAUGAGCUAGGGGGCUUCACGGCUUACUGAACUCUAACAAACUUCGAAUGACGGAUACAUGAUGCGAGGGAGUCAGACAGUGUGAGAUAAGUCUCAUUGUCAAAAGGGAAACAGCCCAGACCUACAACUAAGGUCCCAAAGUACAAGUUAAGUGGUAAAGGAUGUGUCGACGCUAAAACAACCAGGAUGUUGGCUUAGAAGCAGCCACUCAUUUAAAGAGUGCGUAAUAGCUCACUGGUCGAGUGAUUGUGCGCCGAAAAUGUACCGGGGCUAAACUGUGUACCGAAGUCUAGGGAUCGUGAUAAACGAUCGGUAGGGGAGCAACGUGUGCGGGCUGAAGCCGAAGCGGAAGCGACGGUGGACUGCACGGGAGAGAGAAUGCCGGCAUGAGUAGCGAGAGCAAAGUGAGAAUCUUUGCCGUCGAAAGCCUAAGGUUUCCUGAGGAAGGCUCGUCCUCUCAGGGUAAGUCAGGACCUAAGCCGAGGACAAAAGUCGUAGGCGAUGGACAACUGGUUGAUAUUCCAGUACCACCUUUAGCGUUUGACUGAAGCAGUGACACAGAAGGAUAGACAGAGCGCGUGACUGGUAGAGCGCGUCCAAGCGAUGAGGGAGUUAAGUAGUGAAGAACGCUUAACAAUCCUGGGUCGUGAUGGGGACUGAAAAUAAGUAGGGAAGCUGUUGAAUUCACGCUGGCGAGAAAAGCUGCUAAGGAGCGAAAGGGUGCCUGUACCGCAAACCGACACAGGUAGGCGAGGAGAGAAUCCUAAGACGAGCGGGAGAACCCAUGUUAAGGAACUCGGCAAAAUGACCCUGUAACUUCGGGAUAAAGGGAGCCACGAGAGUGGCCGCAGAGAAUAGGCCCAAGCGACUGUUUACCAAAAACACAGGUCUGUGCGAAGUAGAGAUACGACGUAUACGGGCUGACGCCUGCCCAGUGCCGGAAGGUUAAGGGGAAGUGUUAGGGCAACCGAAGCACGGAACUUAAGCCCCGGUGAACGGCGGCCGUAACUAUAACGGUCCUAAGGUAGCGAAAUUCCUUGUCGGGUAAGUUCCGACCCGCACGAAUGGCGUAACGACUUGGGCACUGUCUCAACAAGGGACCCGGCGAAAUUGUAGUAUGUGUGAAGAUGCACAUUACCCGCGAUAGGACGGAAAGACCCCGUAGAGCUUUACUGUAGUUUAACAUUGGAUUUCGGUAACAUAUGUACAGGAUAGGUGGGAGGCGAAGAACCAGGGACGCCAGUUUCUGGGGAGCCGACCUUGGGAUACCACUCUUGUGUUAUUGGAGUUCUAACGAAUUGCCGUGAACCGGGAUUCGGACAGUGUUAGAUGGGCAGUUUGACUGGGGCGGUCGCCUCCUAAAGAGUAACGGAGGCGUCCAAAGGUUCCCUCAGAAUGGUUGGAAACCAUUCGCAGAGUGUAAAGGCAGAAGGGAGCUUGACUGCGAGACCGACAGGUCGAGCAGGUGCGAAAGCAGGGCUUAGUGAUCCGGCGGUAUGAGAGUGGAAUUGCCGUCGCUCAACGGAUAAAAGCUACCUCGGGGAUAACAGGCUUAUCUCCCCCAAGAGUCCACAUCGACGGGGAGGUUUGGCACCUCGAUGUCGGCUCGUCGCAUCCUGGGGCUGAAGCAGGUCCCAAGGGUUUGGCUGUUCGCCAAUUAAAGCGGCACGCGAGCUGGGUUCAGAACGUCGUGAGACAGUUCGGUCCCUAUCCAUCGUGGGCGCAGGAGAUUUGAGAGGAGCUGUCCCUAGUACGAGAGGACCAGGAUGGACGCACCAAGGGUGAAUCAGUUGUUCUGCCAAGAGCAUAGCUGGGUAGCCAAGUGCGGAUCGGAUAAACGCUGAAGGCAUCUAAGCGUGAAGCCGACUUCAAGAUAAGAUCUCCCAUCCGCAAGGAGUAAGGCCCCAUGUAGACCACAUGGUUGA